rnacentral:rRNA from 1 species
GACGUAGGGCGCGAGCGUUGUCCGGAUUUAUUGGGCGUAAAGAGCUCGUAGGCGGCUUGUUGCGUCGACUGUGAAAACCCGCGGCUUAACCGCGGGCUUGCAGUUGAUACGGGCAGGCUAGAGUUCGGUAGGGGAGACUGGAAUUCCUGGUGUAGCGGUGAAAUGCGCAGAUAUCAGGAGGAACACCGAUGGCGAAGGCGGGUCUCUGGGCCGAUACUGACGCUGAGGAGCGAAAGCGUGGGGAGCGAACAGG